UUUACCAUGCAGUCGAGGGGUACAGGGGAGCUUGCUUCUGCUGACGACCGGCGCACGGGUGCUUAACGCGUAUAGAAUCUACCUUGUACUAAGGGAUAGCCUUUGGAAACGAAGAUUAAUACCUUAUAGUAUAUCGACUCGGCAUCGGGAUGAUAUUAAAGAUUACGGUACAAGAUGACUAUGCGUUCUAUUAGCUAGAUGGUGUGGUAACGGCACACCAUGGCAACGAUAGAUAGGGGCCCUGAGAGGGGGAUCCCCCACACUGGUACUGAGACACGGACCAGACUCCUACGGGAGGCAGCAGUGAGGAAUAUUGGACAAUGGAGGCAACUCUGAUCCAGCCAUGCCGCGUGCAGGAAGACUGCCCUAUGGGUUGUAAACUGCUUUUAUACAGGAAGAAACACCUCUACGUGUAGAGGCUUGACGGUACUGUAAGAAUAAGGAUCGGCUAACUCCGUGCCAGCAGCCGCGGUAAUACGGAGGAUCCAAGCGUUAUCCGGAAUCAUUGGGUUUAAAGGGUCCGUAGGUGGAUAAUUAAGUCAGAGGUGAAAUCCUGCAGCUCAACUGUAGAAUUGCCUUUGAUACUGGUUAUCUUGAGUUAUUAUGAAGUAGUUAGAAUAUGUAGU
rnacentral:rRNA from 2 species